rnacentral:piRNA from 1 species
UAAUCUGACUUUAUUCCCUAUAG